ensembl:lncRNA
CCGAGACAGGCAUAUUAAACACACAGUUAACGAAAUGCGCUCUUGAGAUGAGCGUCAUGCGCCAAAGCGCACAUAAGAUAUAUGUCUGUUUCCUUACUUUAACUUUAAAAAAUGUUGAGUACUGAAGGUGGCGCUUGGACACUGUUGCAGGCGCCUGGAUGCGUCGAAGCUGUGAUGUACCAUGGGUAGCUGACCAAGGAAAGACACCCCACCUUGCAAUGUGCUGCUUUAGCUUCCCAGCAUAAGAAAAACUCCAGCAAAGGAAAACAAACGAAGCAGAGAAGACAAACGGAACGAGUGCGGUUUCAAAUCCCUCCGUCAAAUGUGACCUGCUAGAAACUUUGAAACAAACAGAUGUACACACUCCUCAUCCCUCAAGCAGUUCCUCUGUAGCAGCAGUAUGUCUGUCAGUUCUUUCAUCAUGUUAUGAAAUAAGAAGAGAGCACAAGAGGAACCUGUUGCUGGGCUAUAAGACCAAAGCAGCCCAGAGAAAAAAUGGUAAUGCAAGCAAGAGCGGCGGCAGGGGUCUGCCGGGGUGUAACCAUAGCUGCUAAACUCGCAUUCAGGCCUUUUCCAGAGCAGGGCUCAGAGUAUGCAGACGACCUAGGGGCUAGAGACUUAGGGAGGACUUUAAGCUUCUUUGUCAAGCUCCUCGGAGCUCAGUCGACUGCUGUGAAGAGGCCGAAGCAUGCAGCUGUCUAGCAACAAGAAACCCCUCAUACCACAGAUACUGGCCUGUGGUUAAGGAGUGUGAGUAUGAAAGUGUACGUGGUUCAUAUUGUGUGACUCAACAUGUGGGUCUGAAUUUGUGAAAGUGCACCGCUGAUGAGUAUCACACCAGGUGAGACAUGUGUUUGGAAGGCUUAUAACAUGCUUUUAAUAUUUAGAUUUAAGACUUUAUAACACAAGUGUAACACCAAAUAUACCGUUUGUCUGUGAAAACAUGCAACUGUAAAGAAUUGCUUUACAUUUUAUAAACACACCACAUCUCCAUUUGUGUCAUUAAAACUACGCUUAACGUGUAAGUAAUGAAUCAAACACCUAUUCAAAGAAAGACACCCAGUUAAACUGUCUAACUCAGACUACUAAUCCCUGAUUUAGAGAGGUAGGUACACUUAAGGACUUAAGCAAUUUCACAUGGAAUAAGGAUGGUGGAUUCUGUCUUCUGUCACAACGCUUAAAUUGCCUUUAAAGUGGGAUUUCCGUAUGGCUGCUACAGGCGAAAGGGAUGACAACAGCCAGCAAUAACUCUUUCAGUGUCCAUGUAGGCAUGUAUUAGUUUUAUUUUGAUAUGAAAAACAGUGAAACUAAUUGAUCAUGAGCCUUCUUUUCUGGCAAUUGUAACGGCCAAUAUAUUAUAAAAUUGUAGAGGCAGUAUAGCAGUGACAGUGAUUUAUCAGUAUAUGAGGUUUCUUAUAGGCCUCAUCUACAUAAAGUACGGUCCUUACAACGAACACAUCAAUAUGCAUGACUCAUUCUCGAGUCUUGUGACAUGUGGCGCAGACAGAGCCACAGACAUUGGACAACACAGUAAACCUAAGCGCUGUCUUUCCAUGACAGUAUUAUCAGUGAAACUAACACCCUCUUUGGAAUGCCACAAACCUGCCUGGAGACAUGGAGCAGCUAGUUUUAUGAAGCCCAUCCCUGCACUGCCCCAAAUGAGCCAUGGUGAAUUCUCCACCGCCAGUCAAUCCCUGGGGAGGCAGUCAAGAAAACCCUAUUAUAUUUGGGGGCAGGCACCGCUCAAACUGACAGCAACUGCUGCGACAGCAAAGCUCGCGGAAAGAGGGAGAGAGAGGGAGGUAUGUUCACCAUCUCUACGUGACAACAGGCUAAAUUGCUCACAAGUUGGUCUCAUUUGCUUUGCAUGGCGAUUGUGCACAAAGAACGAUGCACUUUGCAGUUAAAGAUGAACAAACCUUCUGAAUUAUGCUAACAGCCCCGAGUGCUCGGGCUCCCUCGUCUUACAAGUGCUUCAUCAGUUUCACACAAAACCCAAAGUAAAAAUCGAACCAUAAAUACAAAUUAAGCUUUGCGCUUAAAAACAGCUGCUGAAUUUAUUUGAGUGCUAUAUGAUUAGCUAACUAAAAAAAGCUACCUUCAUUAAGUUGCACUUUUCCAGAUGUCUCUCUACGCUCAAACCAUUGGGCUCCCCAUUGUAUGCGUCUGCAAUUUAAGAUCAGUUAUUAAUUUUAUAGUCCACUUAAAAUAGCCGCACCUGUAAUUAGAAUCUUAAAUUGCUAAACGGUGCACACGCAUGUGUGCGUGCAUGCACACACACACAGAAAACCACAAACUCGUCAUGGAAUAUAACCAAAGCAGGGAAAUUACCGCAGCGCGUACGUCUGGAAGUCCCUUCUCUGUGAAAUGCGUAUGAAACAUUAAAGCAACAGCAAAAAAAAGUAGCAUGAACAGAGUGGAAGCUUGGGAGGACGCGAGUCCACAAGUGCUGGUUUCAAUCUGAGGGAUAACAUGGAAAAGGUCAAGUCUGAGUCGGCAGAUCACACAUAAUCACCUCCCACACAAUGCUGCUGCCCUAUUCCACAGAAGCCUCCUGAUGAGAAGAGUAGAUAGACAGACAGGAAGAGGCUGACAGAUAUAGGGCAGUGGAGGGAGAGAGAGAGAAGGAAGGAGAGGAAGAAAGGCCCGAAUAAGAGGAGAAUGAGGCAUUAUCAUUCCGAGCAUCAACCCAAUAGCAGAUGGGCAGCUUGUCUGUCUUGGGCUGUGAAGGAGUGGCGUGUGACCCUGUUCACCCCAGGCCUAAUGAAAGAUUGACUGACUGACUCACCUCACUAUGCCAGCGUGUAUGUAUGCUCGACCAAAUAUUAUUGGAUGCAGGGCCUGGAAAUGAUCUAGGAGCUUAGAGAGGGAGGAAAAGACGAACAUUGCAGAACAGUGAUUGAAGGCAGGGCCACAAAGUGAACUAAUCUGAAAAUGAACAGUGGUUCUGUGUUACGGGCAGACCACAGCGCAGUGAACUGAAAAUAAGUGCGGUCGUGCCAUGCUUUGACAUGCAACUGAACACAAGGCUGUGGAGUGAUGCUGAAGCUUAUUUCAAAUCACAGUCUGUGAUUUAAAAACUACAGAAAGGGGAAAAAAGAGUACUUGG